rnacentral:snRNA from 1 species
ACACAUGUAAACAUCUGAUCG